GAGCUGGUCAGCAUCUCAUUACAUGGGCCUCGGGGCUGGUGAACCUUUGUCAACAAACAGAAGGAAAAGGUCGAAUAAAGAAGUGACAGCCACCUCCAGAUCAAGUAGAAUAUGUUUCCUAGGUGAUUUGCCCUAAGAAGCCAACAUGUAAAAGCAAUCUGUAAACUGGAAUCAAGGGCAAAGAUAAGCUUGCUAAGAACCCCAACGCAUGUUUUGUGUUUUGUUCUGGAGGACUCUGCAUAGUACGUCAGUCCCAAGGGAUUCUGCAGAUUCUGCCCCGCAUGAUCCGGCCCCCACCCCGAUCCUUUACUGGUUCACCUGGGAAAGAGGAGUGCCUGCUUUGUUGUCCUUACUUCAUGCUUUAAGAUAGAGAGGUCUGUUUAUUUCUAAGUAUUUUCAAACACUAACAUAGGAGUUUUAAAGGAGGGACUGCCCGGCAAUGUAACCUUAAGCUGGAGGAAAGUGUAGAUUGAACAAUGAAAGCAGAGACUGACCCUUUCAACUCAAUUCCAACACGCUCGCUUCAUUCCCCAAGGAUGAGAAUAUCAAGUACUGAGUUCGUUUAGGGGAAAAUGAAUGUUUUAUCUCAUAAUUUAUAAUUAUGACAUAAAUGGUAAAUGUUUGAGGAGGUAGAUAUGCUUAAUCCGAUUUAAACAUCACACAAAGGGUGGGGGUGUAACUCAGUGGUAGAGUGCUUGUGUGGCAUUGUACAGGGCCCUGUGUUUGAUUCCCCAGCAUCAUAAAAAACAAAAUAUGAAAAAAACUCAACUUGUAAACAUUACAAAAUGUAUAGAGGC
rnacentral:lncRNA from 1 species